rnacentral:rRNA from 1 species
UACGUAGGGGGCUAGCGUUGUCCGGAAUCAUUGGGCGUAAAGCGCGUGUAGGCGGUCCGGCAAGUCCGCUGUGAAAGUCGGGGGCUCAACCCUCGGAUGCCGGUGGAUACUGUCGGGCUUGAGUACGGAAGAGGCGAGUGGAAUUCCUGGUGUAGCGGUGAAAUGCGCAGAUAUCAGGAGGAACACCAAUGGCGAAGGCAGCACUCUGGGACGUGACUGACGCUGAGACGCGAAAGCGUGGGGAGCAAACAGG